UACGGGGGGGGCAAGCGUUGUUCGGAAUUACUGGGCGUAAAGGGUUCGUAGGUGGCCAACUAAGUCAUACGUGAAAUCCCUCGGCUUAACCGGGGAACUGCGUCUGAUACUGGAUGGCUUGAGUUUGGGAGAGGGACGCGGAAUUCCAGGUGUAGCGGUGAAAUGCGUAGAUAUCUGGAGGAACACCGGUGGCGAAGGCGGCGUCCUGGACCAACACUGACACUGAGGAGCGAAAGCCAGGGGAGCAAACGGG
rnacentral:rRNA from 1 species